GACGAACGCUGGCGGCGUGCUUAACACAUGCAAGUCGAACGGUGAAGGGGUCUGCUUUUGUGGGCCCUGGAUGAGUGGCGAACGGGUGAGUAACACGUGAGUAACCUGCCCCCUUCUUCUGGAUAACCGCAUGAAAGUGUGGCUAAUACGGGAUAUUCUGGGUCUGUCGCAUGAUGGGUCUGGGAAAGAUUGCGCCUUUGGGUGUUUUUGGUGGGGGAUGGGCUCGCGGCCUAUCAGCUUGUUGGUGGGGUGAUGGCCUACCAAGGCGGUGACGGGUAGCCGGCCUGAGAGGGUGGACGGUCACACUGGGACUGAGACACGGCCUAGACUCCUACGGGAGGCAGCAGUGGGGAAUAUUGCACAAUGGGCGCAAGCCUGAUGCAGCGACGCCGCGUGAGGGAUGGAGGCCUUCGGGUUGUAAACCUCUUUCGCCAGUGAAGCAGGCCUGCUCCUUGUGGGUGGGUUGACGGUAGCUGGAUAAGAAGCGCCGGCUAACUACGUG
rnacentral:rRNA from 1 species